rnacentral:misc_RNA from 1 species
GAUGAAGAACGCAGCGAAAUGCGAUAAGUAAUGUGAAUUGCAGAAUUCAGUGAAUCAUCGAAUCUUUGAACGCACAUUGCGCCCGUCAGUAUUCUGGCGGGCAUGCCUGUUCGAGCGUCAUUACGCCCCUCAAGUCCCCUGUGGACUUGGUGUUGGGGAUCGGCGAGGCUGGUUUUCCAGCACAGCCGUCCCUUAAAUUAAUUGGCGGUCUCGACGUGGCCCUCCUCUGCGCAGUAGUAAAACACUCGCAACAGGAGCCCGGCGCGGUCCACUGCCGUAAAACCCCCCAACUUUUUAUAGUUGACCUCGAAUCAGGUAGGACUACCCGCUGAACUUAAGCAUAUCAAUAAGCGGAGGA